GAGGAUUUGACGAGAGAAUUUCUGUCUCGGCUUAUUAAGAAAAAAUUAACCUAAAGGUUAAAAGGCCUUUAUUUACUAAAAGGACGACAAGACCCUAUAAAGCUUUAUUUAAAUAUUUUUGUUUAUUUUAAGGAAAAAAUACAAAUUAUAAAUUUUAUUGGGGCGAUAAAUAAAUAAACACUAUUAAUUAAAACGUUUUUGACGAAAUUUAUAAAACAUUUUUAAAAAAUUAACAACAAGUUACUUUAGGGAUAACAGCAUAAUUUCUUUUUAGAGCUCCUAUCGACAGAGAAGAUUAUGACCUCGAUGUUGAAUUGAGUUACUUCCUCUAAGCAGCCUUAGAGGAUAGAA
rnacentral:rRNA from 1 species